GGUGGCUGCUUGCUUGCUGCUGCUCCUGAUCCUCCCCCCACCCUCCAGUCCCUAAUGGCGCUGGCAGCAGCUGCGCGGCGGCGGCGGCGGGCUUGAGCCGAAUGGAACGCGGCGACAGCGACGGAAUGUUCGCAGUUGCUACAUAAUCGCGCCCCCCCCGCCGCCCGCCCGCCGCUUUGGAACGCGGCGUGUCUCCGCGUUCCACAAUGGAACCUGCGCAGCAACCUCAGCGCGGGAGCAGGGCAGCGGCCCCGACGGCCGGCAAGCGGGAGCGGCCCGGCUACGCGGGCCAGGCCGGCACCGAGGGCGGAGGACCCGGCCCGCUGAGAAGCGGCGAGGCAGCAGCAGCGGUUGCUGUCGCAGCAGCAGCAGAGGGUGUAGUCGGGGGCGGCCCGCAGCGGCGAAGGAGGCGAGGGGCCGCGGCUGGAGCCGGCGGCGGCGCGGCUUCCCUCACGCUGGCGGCCAACGGGACUCCGGCAGCGGCGGCCGUCCCCAGCAGCGGCGGCGCCAACUCGCUUCUGCUGCGGAGGGGCAGGCUGAAAAGGAACCUCUCGGCCGCCGCCUCCUCCUCGUCGUCGUCGUCUUCCACCUCGGCCGCCGCCGCCGCUGCUGCUGCCGCCUCGCUGGGCACCCGCAGCCUGGAUCGGAAGGCGCUGCUCCUGCUGCCCAAGCCGCCCCGGCAGCUCCAGCCUCUGCAGCCGCCGGAGCGGGACUGGGUGCGACGGGACCUCCAGAGGGGAUGCGUCCAUGUCUACUACUACCACCACCACCACCAUCACCAGCAGCGAGGGGGCGGCGGCGGCUGCUACCUGCGGCCGGUGCUUUGCACCCUGGAGACGACGGCGGCCGAGGUGGCGUCGCGGUUGUUGCAGCUCGGGCACCGUGGAGCGGGCAGCAGCGCCGUCCGGGUCUUGGGGAAGGCGGCGGCGGCGGCGGCAGCAACCACCGCAGAGGCGCGCGGCCCCCAUGAAGAAGAAGGGGAGGAAGAGGAGGAAGAAGAGGAGGAGGAUGAAGGAGAAAUGGACGGCGAUUUUGCGGCAGACCCGUCCGCCGAGCCCGGGGGAGCAGAAGAGGCGCUGCCCGGCCCCGCGGAGGCUUCGACUUGCCCAGCUGGCAGCCUGACCCCGAUACCGGCCGGGAGGAGGCCGCGAAACCGUCGGGGGACCCCCAGCGGUUUGGGGGGCGGCGGCGAGGCGGCUCCCCGACCGGGGCGCUUGGCUCUCGGCGGCGGGGAGAACGGCCGCGCCGGUGGCCGCCCCUGCCUGUCGCCCUCCGACUGCAGCCCCGGGCGGGCCUUUCCUCCUCCGCCACCUGCGCAGCUCUACCUGUCGGGCCCGCCGCUCUCCUGCCCGUCCCUCCUGGGGGGCUCGGACACGGAGAGCUUCAGCCCCAGCGCGGAGAGCACCUCGGACCGGCUGGACGCCUACAGCGGCGGCGGCGGCUCCUCGUCUUCGUCGGAGGAGUUAGAGGCGGACCCUCCUCCUCCUGGGCCGGCAACGGCGGAGGGGGAAGGGGCCGGAUCGGGGCCUGGCAGGAGCCGCCGGGCCCGCCUGGGCGGCCUGCCAUCGGCGCACGCGGAGAACCCCCGGGGGGGCAGAGCCGCGGGGGAGUCCCCCGGCGCGGGGAAGGCGCCGGGAGGGGAUCCCUCUUCCGCCGGGGAUGCCGCCGCCGCCUCCUCCCCGCCGCAGCCUCCGGCCUUGUAUGUGCAGCUGCACGGGGAGACCGCCCGCCGGCUGGAGCCUCACGAGCAGCCCUUGCAGGUCCAAAACGACUACCUCUCGCAGCUGGGCUUCCGGGACCUGUGGCGGGUGCAGGAGGAGGGCAUGGACUCGGAGACCGGCUGCCUCAUCCGCUUCUAUGCAGGAAAGCCCCACAGCAUUGGCAACUCUGAACGGAUUCAGCUCUCAGGAAUGUACAAUGUUCGAAAAGGGAAAAUGCAUUUGCCGGUCAACAGAUGGACAAGACGCCAAGUUAUCCUUUGUGGGACGUGCCUAAUUGUAUCAUCGGUGAAAGAGAGCCAGACUGGAAAGAUGCAUGUGCUCCCCUUAAUCGGUGGAAAGGUUGAAGAAGUUAAAAAGCACCAGCACUGUUUAGCAUUUAGCUCUUCUGGACCUCAGAGCCAGAGUUACUACAUCUGUUUCGACACUUUCACUGAGUACUUGCGGUGGCUACGGCAAGCUUCAAAGAUUGCAUCGCAGCGAAUAAGCUCAGUGGAUCUCUCAUGUUGCAGCCUGGAGGAUCUCCCUGCCAACCUCUUCUAUAGCCAGGACCUCACUCAUCUCAAUUUGAAGCAAAACUUCCUAAGGCUGAACCCUAGCCCAUCCACAGCCAGGGGACUGAACGAGCUACAAAGGUUCAGUAAGCUGAGGAGCCUUAACCUUUCCAACAAUCAUUUAGGAGAGUUCCCAUUGGCAGUCUGCAGCAUUCCAACCUUGACUGAGCUCAACGUGUCCUGCAAUGCACUCAGAAGUAUUCCAGCAGCCGUCGGUGAUAUGAACAACUUACAGACCUUCUUGUUGGAUGGGAACUUCCUCCAGAGCCUUCCCGCUGAGUUGGAAAGGAUGCCCCAGCUUAACUACCUGGGUCUUUCUUUCAACGAGUUCAGCGGCAUUCCCGAGGUGUUAGAGAAGCUGCCUGCCAUGGACAAACUCUGCAUGUCUGGAAACUGCAUGGAAACGCUCUGCUUGCAGGCGCUGAACAGAAUGCCACACAUCAAACAUGUAGAUCUAAGGUUAAAUGUCAUUAGGAGGUUGGUGGCGGACGGCGCUGAUUUCCUACAUCACGUCACCCAGCUCGAUCUUCGGGACAAUAAACUAGGCGAACUCGACGCCACCAUCUUCAACAACGUUGAAAUACUGCACUGUGAAAGAAACCAGCUGGUCAGCCUCAAAAUCAGCGGAUAUUUGCUUAAAGCUCUUUACGCCACUUCAAAUGAACUUGUUCACCUUGAUGUGUAUCCAGUUCCGAACUAUCUGACUUACAUGGAUGUUUCUAGAAACCACCUCGAGAGCCUCCCUGAAUGGGUCUGCGAUAGCAGGAAGCUGGAAGUUCUGGAUCUGGGCCACAAUCAAAUAUGUGAACUGCCUGCCCGGUUAUUUUGCAAUAUCAGCUUGCGGAAGUUGCUCGCAGGACACAAUCAAUUAGCCAGGCUACCAGAGAGGAUCGAACGGACGCAUGUCGAGGUCUUGGACGUGCAACACAACCUGCUUACAGAGCUGCCAUCUAAUUUGCUGUUGAAAGCUGACAGCUUAAGGUACCUGAACGCUUCUGCCAACAAACUGGAAAUGCUACCUCCAGCCACUCUUUCGGAAGAGACUCACAGCAUUUUGCAGGAACUGUAUUUGACCAACAAUCACCUCACGGAUAAAUGCGUGCCCUUAUUAACGGGUCACCCGCACCUGAAGAUCUUGCAUAUGGCCUACAACCGCCUGCAGAGCUUUCCCGCAAGUAAAAUGGCCAAACUUGAAGAGCUGGAAGAAAUUGACGUUAGCGGAAACAAACUGAAAUCUAUCCCCACAACCAUUAUGAACUGUCGGCGCAUGCAUACUGUGAUUGCACACUCCAAUUGUAUCGAAGUCUUCCCAGAGGUCAUGCAGCUUGGUGAAAUCAAGUGUGUGGACCUGAGCUGUAAUGAGUUGACUGAAGUCACAUUACCUGAAAACUUGCCUCCGAAGCUGCAGGAACUAGACUUGACUGGAAACCCCAGACUUGCCCUGGAUCACAAAACCCUGGAGCUAUUGAAUAACAUCCGUUGUUUCAAGAUUGACCAGCCUUCAGCCGGAGAUGCCUCAGGAGCCCCAGCCGUGUGGAGCCAUGGUUACACGGAAGCCUCGGGAGUUAAGAACAAGCUGUGCGUGGCGGCUCUUUCCGCCAACAACUUCUGUGACAACCGGGAGGCCCUCUAUGGCGUCUUUGACGGGGACCGCAACGUGGAAGUGCCUUACCUCUUGCAGUGUACCAUGAGCGACAUCUUGGCCGAGGAGCUGCAAAAAACAAAGAGCGAAGAGGAGUACAUGAUCAACACUUUCAUUGUAAUGCAGAGGAAACUUGGAACGGCUGGGCAAAAGCUUGGAGGCUCUGCUGUCCUUUGCCAUAUCAAGCAUGACCCGAUAGACCCAGGCGGAUGCUUCACGUUAACCUCUGCGAAUGUGGGGAAGUGCCAAUCUGUUCUCUGCAGGAACGGAAAACCUCUGCCUUUAUCCAGGUCUUACAUGAUGAACUGCGAAGAAGAGUUGAGGAGGAUCAAGCAGCAUAAGGCCAUCAUCACAGAAGACGGCAAAGUGAAUGGCGUGACGGACUCGACGAGGAUCUUGGGGUACACCUUCCUUCACCCGAGCGUGGUCCCUCGCCCUCAUGUGCAGUCCAUCACGUUGACUCCUCAGGAUGAAUUCUUCAUUCUGGGCAGCAAAGGCCUCUGGGACAGCCUUUCCGUCGAAGAAGCCGUGGAAGCCGUCAGGAACGUCCCCGACGCUCUGGGAGCCGCCAAGAAGCUCUGCACGUUGGCCCAGAGCUACGGCUGCAACGACAGCCUCAGCGCUGUGGUGGUCCAGCUCAACGUCACCGAGGACAGCUUCUGCUGCUGCGAGCUCAACGGCGUCCCCCCUCCCAGCCCGGGCAUCUUCCCCCAGUCGGUCAACGUGGUCAUCAAAGACAAGCCUUCGGACGCCCUGGGGAUGCCCUCCUCAAGCAGCGGAAUGGCCUCCGAGAUCAGCAGCGAGAUCUCAACCUCCGAAAUGAGCAGCGAGGUGGGGUCCACGGCCUCUGACGAGCCCCCUCAGGUAACCAUGAACGAGAACAGCCCGGCCUACCCCAGCGAGCAGCGCUGCAUGCUCCACCCGGUCUGCCUCUCCAACUCUUUCCAGAGGCAGCUCUCCAGCGCCACCUUCUCCAGCGCCUUUUCGGACAACGGGCUCGACAGCGACGACGAGGAGCCCAUCGAAGGCGUCUUCUCCAACGGCAGCCGGGUGGAAGUGGAGGUGGACAUCCACUGCGGCCGUGCCAAGGAGAAGCUCCUGCUGCUGCAGGCCCCCGUGGAGGCCAGCGACGAGGGCAUCGUCAUCAGCGCCAACGAAGACGAGACCUGCCUCCUCCGCAAGGCCGACCCUUUGGCCACGGGGACCAUCGGGCGCCGGCGAGGCAACGGCUCCGUAGCCCCUCAGGAGAGGAGCCACAACCUCAUCGAAGUGGCGGCCGACGCACCGCUCAGGAAAACUGGGGGGUACUUUGCAGCCCCGGCUCAGCCAGAUCCCGACGAUCAGUUCAUUAUCCCGCCAGAGCUCGAAGAGGAGGUCAAGGAGAUAAUGAAGCAACACCACGAACAACAGCAACAGCAGCAGCAGCAGCAGCAACAACAGCAACAGCAACAACAGCGGCAAUACCAGAUGGACCAGCUGCCAGAUUAUUACGACACGCCGCUAUGACCGAGCUUGACAAAAUAAGCUGACCAGACACUGAGAGCUUGGAGGCUCGUUAGACAACCAUACAGUCACCGCGAAGGAUUCUUGAGAUGUCUGUAGUUGCAUCUCACUCUGGAGUCUGUUUCUGCCCAUUUCAUCCUCCCUCCCACUGCAGCUGCUUGCAGUACUAAAGAGGCAAGCUGCUCUUGGGUUUAUUGGGACUCUGCCUCUUGUAUACCCAGUGCUAUUUUUCUAGAAAAAGAGGUGCUGGAACUCACCAUGAACACCUCCUUCGUUCGUUCUCUUAGAAUGACAAUGGCGCCCACCUGAGAGAACUGAAAGUUCUGGCUGGGGAAAAAGCCCUGAUUCUACAUGGCAGCCUAAGCACAACAGUUUAGUCAAUCAUCCAAUUUUGUUUCCAGCGGCUACGUUCAGACAGUGGAUUAUUUUGUUUUCCCGAUGUUCCCUUACCUGAUAAUUUCCUCGUUUUAUUUGAUUGUUCGCAUGGCAUUGAAGUCGUUUCUGCAAAUCUAGUGGACUGUGGUGGAAGUUCAGCGCUUACUUCCCUUGUUAAUUGCUUCCAGGGGGGAAAAACUGAUUGUAGGAUUAAAGUGAUGGAAUCUGUGGCAUCCCGCCCUUUUCAAUGCGUGGAUCAUGGAGGGAGCAGAACUGCACAUGCGCAGAAAGCAUGUGGGAAGAAAGGCAUGUCCAUUGACAUUUGUUGGGUGUCACUGUGCCCAUAUGUAUGAAGGAAAUUUGAUGUGACAUACCAGUGGAUCACUCAAAAGAACGGUAGCCCCCUAACACAACAGCAUGAAAAAUUUGGUGCCAUUAUAAUCAGCAAGAAAUGCCAUGUCUGAACGCAUUUUGUCUACCUCACUGUAUCACAAACUAUGGAGGCCAAACUUGAGAUUCAGAAAUGAACUAUGAAAAGCAGCUUCCUGCUUCUGCAUGUACUGGAAACCUUCGAAAAAGCCUGCCAUUCUAUUUCCCUUCAGAUGAAAAUGAACCAGUGAAAAUGAAGCCUUGGGCUGCAGCUGAAGAGCAUUUCACCCAUGCUGUACAAGUAUUUUAAAUCAUCGUAUGCAUUCGGGUUUCAGAAGUCAUUGGGGGUGCAUUGCUGAGCUGGAACAAGCUGUUAAAAGCCCAGAGAAGCAAGCAGGUGGUGGAGACACUCAACUUGCAUGCUCAGCCGUAAACCGAAGUGCUUGAAUCCAUUUCGUUUGUUUACAAGGAAGAGGACUCGUUGCAUUUGCUAAAGCAAAUUCUUCUUAAAUGUAUUCCUUAGUGGGUGAUUGAUCAUAAGCACCCUGCCUGCACACUCAAAAAAUGUGACAUACUAAAAACCCAUCAGCCUUUCGUUUAUAAGUAAUGAAGUCAUUUCCAUCGCUUGACAUGAUUUAUCACUCCCAGCAACAGCCAAAUAAAUCUUCCUAGAAUUUAGCUUU